ACUGCCCAUUUAACUGCAUCUCCUACUGAGCUGGAAGCUCUGGUGGAUAGGGGCAGGUCUGCUCAUUCACUGCUGCCUUCCCCGCAUCUGGUACCGUGCACACAGAAUAAGCCUAGCAGAAUGCCUGUGGAUGGACUGACCAAUGAAAGUAAUGAGGUGCUGGGACCCGAAGGCGAGUGGCAUGAGUCAUGAGGAGGCGUAGGUGGAGUUGGAGGUGGGAGGAGGAUGAUGUAGCAAAGGGCCAGGCGGGUUCAGGCACGUUCCUGGCGGAAGGUGCUCUGAUGCUGUGGAAGACAGUUUCUUCAUGGAUUCCAACUGCUUGAUUUGUGGGAAUGACUCAACCAUGCCUGUUCUCCCCCACCUUUGAUGAGGCAUCUGACACUGAGUUAAUUCAUUUGCAUGGUGUAGACUACAGUAAAUCCAGUGUUGGGACACUGUGUCAUCUUCUUUCUGAUUAUGAUGGUAACAAACGCUUGCCAUAGGAGACUGGAAAAAUCUAUCCUAUAGGAAUAUUGGAAAAUCUAUCCUGUAGGAAGAAAGAAAAAACUCACCUAAACUUGUACCAUACACUGUCAAAUCUGGGCACUUUUCCUUCUUUUUGUCUUUUUCCCCCUAAAGCCACAGGCGUUUAAAAACAACCUGAGCAUGAGUCAGCCUGUCUGUCCACAUCUACAUACAUGUGAUCGAGGCCCUCAUCUUGCAGAUACAGAUCUAUUCUCUUGCAGAGACUCAACCUUGGACAACAUCAUUGCUUUCCACUGCAAUAUUCAUUACUCCAUCAACAAAUUUUUAUUUUUUAUUCUUUUGAGACAAGGUCUUACCCUGUUUCACAGGCUGGAGUGCAGUGGUGCAAUCAUGGCUCACUACAACCCAAAUUCCUGGGCUCAAGUGAUCCUCCUGCCUCAGCCUCCUUAGUAGCUGGGAUCACAAGUAUGCACCACCAUGCCCAGCUAAUUUUUUUUCUUUUUCUUUUUUUGUAAAGAUGGAGGCCUCGCUUUAUUGCUCAGGCUGGUCUCAAACUCCUGAGCUCAAGCAAUUCUCCCGCCUUGGCCUCCCAAAGUGCUGGGAUUACAGGCGUGAGCCACUGUGUCCAGCCAGAAAGUUCUAUUUUGUAUAGCUAGCUUAACAAAACUGCUGCAGUGCUAGCCCCUAUUCUUAGUCUAUUGCCCAUCUGGCCUCCACUAUCUGGAAGAUAGACAGAAGAGCCCACAACCUUCUCCAGACAACAAAGAAACUGGCCGGUGAAAUCAUCAAGAGGCUAGCUGGCGUCUGGGGGGCGUGAGGGAGUGCAUUGCAUUAAUGAAGUCUUUUUAUUCUUGGAAAAGUGUUUGGACAAAGGCUGUGCUAUGCGUAUGGCGUCUCUGCAGCUCCUGGACAUAUGCUCUGACUGUGCUACUUCUGCACACAAAAGGUCAGCAUAUGGCUUCCUUUCUCUUUCCCCGAGGAAAGUGACAGGCUGGUCAUGGAUGCCUCACCUGCUGUUGCUCUCACUCUGGAGAAAGAAGUGUUUGAGGCAUCACUGCCAGUAAAUCUUCACUGGGCUCCCAGCAGGCCUGGCCUAGCUUGACCCCUUCAUGGGUAACAGCAGAAGGCCACCUGCUGCUCCGCGGCUGAGCAACCAAACAGCACAGCUGCUGAGGUUAGGGUUUGAGGUGAAAUAUAGCCACACACGUCUCCCAGGGUCACACGUGAGUAGCCUCAAAGGGCAAAUAGGUCUUGAAAUGAUGGUCUCAGGGGAGAAACCACUUCCAUGGCCUGUUCUCGAGCUGUCCAGCUUGGCAGGGUGAGAAAAGUCUGCAAUGAAUGGCCUUCCUGGGUCUUUCCGUCAGAGCAGCCUGGAGUGUGUGCGAAGGUGAAACAGCCACCCCAGCGCUUCUCCUCCUCCUCCACACCCUUUGUCCUUUUAGGUCCCCUGCCCUACCUUUGUCCUUGUUAUUGCUGACAGUCAGAGCAUCCAGGAAACAGAGCUGGGAAAGAAAGAAACCAGAAGAGAGGAGAGGGGCCUAAGAUUGAGGGUUUGGAGAACAGAUUAAUGCUAUGACCUUCAGCCGCCUAGGGACAAAAAGCACCUUCCAGAGAGAAGCCAUUGAGCAGUCGCUGACGUUGCAUCCAUCAGGCUCGUACUGAUUGUAGGAUUUGAUUUUUUAAAGGCACAUGUUUAUGACUACAUGGCUUUCUUGUCCCACUCUAUAGCAAGCUAACUGAAAGCACUUUCCCCCGUGUCAAUCAGUUAAAGAGAAGGCUAGCAAAUAUGUCUGUGACAGAAUAAUCUUGGUGUUUCCUAAUUUCCACUUCAUGGCACUGUGGAAAAAGACAUCUGAAGGUGCUGUGGAAUUAUAUGGACAAGGCUGCAGGCAGAUGGCGAGGCCGCGGAGAGAUUAGACUUGGAACCUAUUGGGAGGAUAUAGGGUGGAGACGCGUGAUUCUGGAUCAUGUGAACCCAGGAUGCACGUGAAUUUCCUGCAUCACCUAAGGAAGAAAGUGGGGAAGCUGUUGAGCGAAAGCAGCUUGAAAUUCUUCUCGGGAUCCACGUUCACGUAAUUGAUUCCUUCCUUCCUUGCUCCUUUUUUGCCCUUCUUUUGUUGAUUGAUUCUUUCUUUCUUUCAUUAAUCAAAAUCUGUCUUCAAGGAUCUCACCUUCAGCUCUGGGAAGAAAGCCCAUUAAGCAACCUCAAGGCAGUAAAGAAGGCAGGAAGAGACAGGAAUGGUCAGAGUAUAUUGAAAAACGUUCCUCAGUCAGUCUCCCAAAUGUUCGGUGUAUGCUGGAAUCACCUGGGGUUCUCUGUACCGAUGCCGCCUCGAAGACCAGGGGAUCUCAGGUGGUGAUCAGGAAUCUGCAUUUCACCAGCCCCUGUCCCCACCCCAUCCCCAGGGCAUGCUUUUGGAAAUCUGCUCACAACGUGUCCCUCCCCCUCCUUCCUGCUUUUAUUAACUAGAUGUUAAAAUGCUUGGAGUCACACUCAGGAGUGUGUGGAGUCUUCUCGUGA